CUUUCCAACUGAACGUCGCUAAUGAUUGUCAUGGCAACAACCGCCUUUUUUCGGACGUGAAGUCGGCGAGAGGAGACGGCUGCGGAACUCGCCGGCGAGGUCUAUUCCUCGACGAUAAAACGUACAGUGUUUGUUUGGACAAAAACAUGGAUGGAGACAUCGUCCUCAAUGGAGCAGCAGGUGCAGUUUUAAGCCAGCAUCACUGACGGUGCUGUAUCGAGAAACCCUUGGUGGCUCACGACAAUGACGCGCCCCAGUCCAUAAUAGGAGGCGGCCAAAAAUGUCCGUCCAUCGUCUGCCAUUGCCACAGGGAAGGCAAGCUGGCCAUGAACAAGAAUCUCAGAAGCAAGCGCAUUACCAGAGAUGUCAAACUGGGAUAUCCCCUUUAGCAAGAACUCCAGGUCUUCCUCAAAAUCCUUACCAACACUGUAUUUAAAAAGAAUAGAAGAGAAAGCUUCACUGUCAUUGUUGCAGUUGAAUGAAAAGUGGUUUUGCGGUAGAUUAAAAGAAAGAAACUACUAACACUGCAAAACUAUAUAAAACUACAAAAACACUCGGAGAGCACAGACCACCACCAGGCUCUACUUCCAAUAGUAAAAUUCCUGAAACUAGACAGUGAUCCGAAUUACCCCCAAAAUGUAAUCACUUGUACCUUCUCCCUUUUCUGACUUUUCCUGAAAGUUAAAUAAAAAAGUUGUCAAUGACUGAUAGAGCUUUCUAUAGCAGAAUGAAAGGAACAGAGUGACGCCUCUUUUCAGUCAUCUACUGUUUUUGUCUCUUUGGGUGGAGGUGGGACCAUAACAAUACAUAUAGACAAAGAAGUUGAAGCUCAUAUUGUAAAGUAAUGUGGUGUCUGUUGAUAUUACCACAUAUCAAGGUUCGUAUAUGGUGAAUGUUUACAUUCCUCUUGGAGAAAGUGGACAAUCUGGUUUUCUUUAAAUAGGGGUAUAUCAUUGUGGGCAGGUAAUAAAGUAUGGCCAUCACGUUUACGUACAUGUGGAUUAGACUAGUUCACACAAGAUAAAGGCUCAUAAAUUCGCCCUUGGUAUGCAAAGGGCCAGUCGCAUCUGUGGGAAGGGACUGCAUGUUUAAGUUAACGCCAACAAUUAAGUUAUGACCUAAAACUGAAGUGUAAGCACGCCUACACACUUUACACAUUGCCUUACAUGGUCAGAAUGUAUGCAACUUGCGUAGCACACACUCAAAGACAUAAGAUGACCCCAUUGGGGAAUAUAAAACUGCUGGUUUGGCUUCUCCAAGGCAGGGGAGACACAUUUUGACUAAACCUCCUCCAAGUACUGCAGUCCUGUACAAUGACACUCGUUCGACAAUAAAGAAACUUUUGUUCAUCGAUG